AAUUGAAAAUGACAAUAUUGUUGCGGUUUCCCGCCAAAAACCGCAGCAAUAUUAUUCAACGGACAAAUUUUGAAAAAUAUGUGGGCCCAUAGUAGCAAAUAUUGCUGCGGUUUCCACGUAGAAACCGCAGCAAUAUAUUAAAAAUUAAUUUAAAAAAAAUAACAUUUUAAUAUAUUGCUGCGGUUUAUAAUAAAAAAACCGCAGCAAUAUCCCAUUUAUUUCAUAUAAUAGGCGCUAGGGUUUGGGGACACUCGCAUUUCAGUCUUUUCCUCCUUUCUCUCUCCUUCCCUCUCAGCCGUCGUUCUUCUUCAUCUCGUUCUCUCUCCUCGAAAUUUCAGCCGUCCUUCUUCUUCAUCUCGUCCUUCUUGCCUUCACCCUUCUCAGCCCGUCGGCCUUUCUAUUCUUCGUCGGCCGUUCACUGAAGAAUCUGACCAUUCAAUUCGCCGCAACGAAGGAGAGAGAGAGGAGUUCGAGAGUUUCAUUGAGGGUUUUGUUCAUUUUUUAUACAGAAGUUUUUGGACUUUCGGGGCUUUCUUGGUGCGUUUGUCGGUGAAGCUUUUGACAUUCCGACCGCCUGCUGCCACAUCCGUGAACACAGUCGAAUCUGCCUUCGUCGAGUUUCAUCAACACCGAACUCCUUCAUCUGCCUUCGUCGCCUCGUCGGCCGUUAGUAUCAUCGGCCUCCGUCGACGGUUCCUUGGUGUUUAGUUUUUUUUUCUGUUUUCUUCCUUUAUAUUUAAACUUAUGUAUUUUUCAUUUUCUUUAUUUUUAUUUUAAUUAAGAUCGAAACUUCUGUAUUUAUUUUUGUUGUCUUUAUUUUUUAUUCUAAUUUUGGAUUUAGAUGUAAAUUUCUGUAAUUUUUAUUUUCUUUAUUGUUUUUGUUUUUGAUUUAGAUAUGAUGUUUAGGAUCGUCUUCCAUUGAUAUUUUAUGAAUUUGAAUGUUGUUGUUA